GCGAGUAUAGUUUAGUGGUAGAAUGCGACCUUCCCAAGGUUGAGGCGGCGGUCCGAUUCCGCCUACUCGCUCCA
rnacentral:tRNA from 1 species